UGGGGAAUUUUGCGCAAUGGGCUAACGCCUGACGCAGCAACGCCGCGUGGAGGAUGAAGGUCUUUGGAUUGUAAACUCCUGUCAGCGGGGAAAAAGCAACCGUACCUCAUACGUACGGAAGUUGAUUGUACCCGCAGAGGAAGCCCCGGCUAACUCUGUGCCAGCAGCCGCGGUAAUACAGAGGGGGCAAGCGUUAUUCGGAAUUAUUGGGCGUAAAGGGCGCGUAGGCGGCCUGACAAGUGGAAGGUGAAAUCCCUCGGCUUAACCGAGGAACUGCCCUCCAAACUGUUUGGCUUGAGACCGGGAGAGGUGAGUGGAAUUCCCAGUGUAGCGGUGAAAUGCGUAGAUAUUGGGAGGAACACCAGUGGCGAAGGCGGCUCACUGGACCGGUACUGACGCUGAGGCGCGAAAGCGUGGGGAGCAAACGGGAUUAGAUACCCCCGUAGUCC
rnacentral:rRNA from 1 species